CCAACCCCGGCCCGCACUCUCAAUAGAUGCCGUUCCCUUUAAUCCAACACAUAUAUUUGAAAAAAGUAAAUCAUGGACUUGGAGGACAGAUUUAUAUUUGCCGGGGGGUUGGCCCGCAGAGAGCGUGCAAUGGCAGGUAAAUUAUGCCCACAGUCCUGAGGGUGAGUCUUGAACCUGGUGUGUAAAAGUUUACUGGUCCCCCCACAAGUCCGUCGCUCCCCCAACCUGAUUCUAUGCGGUCUGCCCAAGGGGCACCAUCCCUGAGGGCACCCGCUUGAUUUUCACAUGUAAAGGAGGGGCUGGUGCUGCAGAAAUUACAAGCAUGGGACACAGAGAAGACAGCGGGUGAAGAAGCAGGUCGGUGUUUCUCAUUAAGGCAUGGGGAAAACCGUCAGCUGCCUCCUGACGGCCGUGCUAACCUCUGGCGGGGAAGACAGCACAGUCUCACUGGGUAAGGUCAUGGCGCCUGGCACGUCUGCAACUCCUGUCUCGCCCUUCAUUAAUCCACAGGGGCAGGCGGGAGGGGACCUGUGACUCUUUAUCACCCAGACACCAAUUGCAACAAGGCAGCCUGUCAGGAGCCUUGAUUUCACUCGAAAAGCAAAAAAAGCAAAGAAAACACCGGACAAUUUUUUCCCCCCCUCUCUUGCUUGCUUCUGGUUUAUGUUGUCAGGACAGCUCUCAUCGGCUUGCUGGUGUUCUGAGUUUGUCUUCUUCGUUGCCCAGGUUUCCCCAGAUUGGAGAGAACUGCCGAGCUGUGUCAUCCCUGCAGCAUCUUCUUGGAGAGCAGCUUUACAGAAUCAUCAUGGGCUCGUCAAGGCGGUGGGACAGGACUCAGUGGGUGCCCAGCCGCUGGGUUCUCAGUCAUAUUUAAAUAAAGAACAUGUUUCGAGGGCAAGAAAACAGCCACGUGACACAACAGUUUCCGGUCCCUUGCUGGGGUCCGUUUGCACUCCGGCGGAGUACAAUUAAUGCGAAAGGAAGACCCCUCUGAAGCACAGUCUGUUCCAAAAAAGGUCUCCGUGGCCCUUCCAAGGUCGGCCUUGGUCAUGACCAGCUUAAAGCACAGGGGACUGGGGCAAAUACAUCAGAAUCCUUCCCCUCUCUGGGUUCUCUUGAUUCUGUAUCUUUCCCUAUUCCAAAUAUUUUACCUUGAUGGAAGGGGAGCUCUCUCCCAUGAGAGGAGGGAGAUGAAAAGCGCAAGAAAAUUCUAAACAUCUCCUUGGGUUCCCAUCACAAGAUAUGAAUAAGAGAUCCAGUCCAAAUCUGGCCACCCCAGAUUUGAUUGACAUGUUGUCUGUGGCUGCUUUUGCUCCAGAAAGGGAAGGGCGGAGUAGGGGCAGAAGCGACCUCAUGGCCCCAAAUGUCCAACACAUUGACUAUCUGGCCUGUUACAGAAAAAGUCUGCCACCCCGCUGUUUUGGAGUUGAAGAACCAGAGACCCAGAGGGGGGAAAGCGGGGAGGUCAUUUGUUUAAGACCAUGUGGGCAGGUAAGGAUGGAGGCGAGAGCCAUGGUUGUUGGCAGGGCUUUGCAAUGGAUCCACUGUAUCUACAGGAAGUGACGCUUCACAUAGUAGCACGAUUCCCUACACAUUAACACAUUCACUGAGUGGAUGAGAAAUGCCUCUGUCUUGUGAGAGGUAAGGAAGAAGGAGAUGGACGGACUGCAGCUUUCAGAUGGGGUUGAAUCCUCCCUGAUGUUUCAGGCCACCCCUGAGGCAUGCCAUGCCCUCCUGCCCGAGGAACAGAAUGUCAACUCCCAAGUCGUUAGGGUAGGACCUGGCCAGAGGCCAGGCAAUGUCAGGCUGUCCGUUGGGUUUCAGCAGAAGAGCCCCCCCAGAAAGCCAACCUCUCACAUUCAGUCUCAGAUGCUGAGGAAAAGAGAGACACCUCAGUGUCUCAUGAAGACAAGGAUGGAGAGAUGGACGAGUCCCCUAACGGAAGAGUAAGGCUUUCCUCCUUCUAGUCCAGCCCACUCCCCAAACAUGCACAACAGCUGCAUCAUGCUCAGUAGCUUGUUGCUUUGCUGUCUGAAAUUGGUCCUCGAUGCUAAACACCAAGUUCCCCAUCCAGGAUGUCGAACCUGCCCCAUCCCAGGGCAGUGCCACCUGCCUCACUCCCACCACUCUUCCUUUCUGUGUAUCCCAGGCUGAGAGCCUCGGGGCAUGGACCUGUCACAGCAGACACGGAGGAGGUGCCCCCCUAGGAGAUGGGGUGGGGGGGGCUUGCUCUGUUCCACAAACCCAGUGGCCUGGACUCCUCUGACACCACGUGAGCACCCUGGCAUACCCUUUCCUUCUCACACAUUGCUCUGUGGAAGACAACCUGAGACACGUCUUUAUGGAACCGUGGGCAACGCUGUUCUGCCAGGGGUUUUAUUCCUCUCGGAUCCAUCGUCCAAAGUAGACACUUUGUGAGUCUCUCUCUCAAGGCAUGUGCAUCGUGCCAUGUCACUUCACUGCCUUUCGCAUCUCACCUAUUAGACCACCUUCGGGGCAGAAAUGUUCCCUUCAUCGCUUCAUCUUUACCUCAGCAUCCACAUAGUUGCUCAGAAAUGUAGAAGAGGAUAAGAACAUGAGAACACCUAAGAAAACUUAAUGGAUUCCUGUUUGUAUGAGCCAGGGUGUUCCAGAGGAAGGAACAAAGCCACUGGGAGAUAGAUGUCUGUGUGUAGAACUAUCUAUCUGUAAUUUAUCUAUCUAUCCAU
rnacentral:lncRNA from 1 species